rnacentral:lncRNA from 1 species
ACAGCCCCGGAAGGCUGACCUCCCCCCCCCCCCCCGCCCCCGACGUCUGGUAGGACCGAGGUGUAACGUUUGAAAAUUGCCCAGUAAAGUGUGAGAGCAAACCAGGCAGAAUGCUAAAAGACCGGAAAGCAUAAAAUUUAAAAACAGCCUCUGACGGUGCAAAAAUCAAGGAAGGACUUUUGCAAAAACAACUCCGUUUCCAGCCAAAGGGAGCUUUAACCCGACUGGUAAUUGAGUCCGUCUGCGCUCCUUCCCCGGGCGUAUCAUAAGGAAAAGAAGGCUCGAGAUGACCACCUGCAAGGCUCGAGAUGACCUUGUUUUCCCUUCCCGUGAGGAACCCGGGCUGCAAUCCUGCAACCACACGGGGCAGGCCCACCUCCAAGGUUCCGAAAACCCGAGAGGAAACCCUCAAACGUUGCAAUAGCACACUUCACCUCUUUGAGUAAGAUGCCUCCCUUCUCGGACAUCUCCUUGCUUCUGUUUCAGGCUCAGUACCUGCCUGCUAUCAGAAUAACAGACCUUGAGAACCUCCCUCCCUUCCCUGGACUAAAACAAGGGGGUCAUCCUGGAUCAUCUGUAAAGGCUCGGCUAGAAACACCUUGUAAGUUAAGAUGCAUUCAUACUAACGUGUGAAUGACUGCUUACCGCUGAAACACUCAACCUCCAUCAUGAGAACUGCAACUUAACAAAGAAGAACAUUUCCAGGUAUAUUUGGACUAGAGAAAGGACAGUCCUGCAGCAGUCAUUUAGCAACAAUGGCUGGCCAUCAGGCUCCUUUAAGUGGCAAGGGAAAGAAGCUAAUAUUGAUUGGACAAUUUAUGUAUCUUUCCCUAAGAACAUCACAGCCCUUACAACAU